rnacentral:rRNA from 1 species
CCUACGGGUGGCAGCAGUGAGGAAUAUUGGUCAAUGGACGAGAGUCUGAACCAGCCAAGUAGCGUGAAGGAUGACUGCCCUAUGGGUUGUAAACUUCUUUUAUAAAGGAAUAAAACGAGGCUCGUUUGCCUUUUUGCAUGUACUUUAUGAAUAAGGAUCGGCUAACUCCGUGCCAGCAGCCGCGGUAAUACGGAGGAUCCGAGCGUUAUCCGGAUUUAUUGGGUUUAAAGGGAGCGUAGAUGGGUUGUUAAGUCAGUUGUGAAAGUUUGCGGCUCAACCGUAAAAUUGCAAUUGAUACUGGCAGUCGUGAGUACAGUUGAGGUAGGCGGAAUUCGUGGUGUAGCGGUGAAAUGCUUAGAUAUCACGAAGAACCCCGAUUGCGAAGGCAGCUUACUAAACUGUGACUGACAUUGAUGCUCGAAAGUGUGGGUAUCAAACAGGAUUAGAUACCCUUGUAGUC